rnacentral:rRNA from 1 species
GACGAACGCUGGCGGCGUGCUUAACACAUGCAAGUCGAACGGAAAGGCCCCUUUGGGGGUACUCGAGUGGCGAACGGGUGCGUAACACGUGAGUAACCUGCCCUUGACUUCGGGAUAACUUCAGGAAACUGGGGCUAAUACCGGAUAGGAAUCCUUGCUGCAUGGUGGGGGUUGGAAAGCUUCGGCGGUUUUGGAUGGACUCGCGGCUUAUCAGCUUGUUGGUGGGGUAGUGGCUUACCAAGGCUUUGACGGGUAGCCGGCCUGAGAGGGCGACCGGCCACAUUGGGACUGAGAGACGGCCCAGACUCCUACGGGAGGCAGCAGUGGGGAAGAUUGCACAAGGGGCGGAAGCCUGAUGCAGCAACGCCGCGUGCGGGAGGACGGCCUUCGGGUUGUAAACCGCUUUCAGCAGGGGCGAAGCUUGUGGUGACGGUACCUGCAGAAGAAGCACCGGCUAACUACGUG